rnacentral:rRNA from 1 species
AUUGAACGCUGGCGGCAGGCCUAACACAUGCAGGUCGAGCGGUAACACAGGGAGCUUGCUCCUGGGUGACGAGCGGCGGACGGGUGAGUAAUGUCUGGGAAACUGCCUGAUGGAGGGGGAUAACUACUGGAAACGGUAGCUAAUACCGCAUACCGUCGCAAGACCAAAGAGGGGGACCUUCGGGCCUCUUGCCAUCAGAUGUGCCCAGAUGGGAUUAGCUAGUAGGUGGGGUAACGGCUCACCUAGGCGACGAUCACUAGCUGGUCUGACGGGAUGACCAGCCACACUGGAACUGGGACACGGGCCAGACUCCUACGGGAGGCAGCAGUGGGGAAUAUUGCACAAUGGGCGCAAGCCUGAUGCAGCCAUGCCGCGUGUAUGAAGAAGGCCUUCAGGUUGUAAAGUACUUUCAGCGGGGAGGAAGGCGAUAAGGUUAAUAACCUUGUCGAUUGACGUUACCCGCAGAAGAAGCACCGGCUAACUCCGUGCCAGCCGCCGCAGUAA